rnacentral:rRNA from 1 species
UGAGCAAUCUGCCCAUCUCAUCGGAAUAAGCGUUGGAAACGACGUCUAAUGCCGAAUACGACCUCCUUUCGCAUGAUCGGAGGUGGAAAGCUCCGGCGGAGAAGGAUGAGCUCGCGGCCUAUCAGCUAGUUGGUGUGGGUAAUGGCCCACCAAGGCGACGACGGGUAGCCGGCCUGAGAGGGUGACCGGCCACACUGGGACUGAGACACGGCCCAGACCUCCGUAGGGAGG